rnacentral:rRNA from 1 species
UACGUAGGGCCUAGCGUUGUCCGGAUUUAUUGGGCGUAAAGAGCUCGUAGGCGGCUUGGUAAGUCAGGUGUGAAAUCUCCACGCUCAACGUGGAGGGGCCACCCGAAACUGCCAUGGCUUGAGUCCGGUAGGGGAGUGUGGAAUUCCCGGUGUAGCGGUGAAAUGCGCAGAUAUCGGGAGGAACACCCGUAGCGAAGGCGGCACUCUGGGCCGGUACUGACGCUGAGACGCGAAAGCGUGGGGAGCGAACAGG